GAAAAAUCCACCUUAUUAAUUGGGAAAAAAAGGAAAUAACUAUAGAGUUUUGGUCAGAAGUUUUGAUGUAUAAGGAUGCUGGCCAAAACAAAGCUUUCGAGCAACUGGCGUUAUUUGCUUUGCACAUUCUUUCACUGCCAUGGUCGAAUGCUGCGGUUGAGAGGGUAUUCAGCCAAAUGAACAUGGUCAAAACAAAGUUGCGCAACAAAAUGAAUUUAAAAAGCUUGAACGCAAUUUUAAGAAUAAGAUAUGGACUGCGACGUCAUGGCAAAUGUUGCCAUGACUACAUACUUCCAACGAAAUACCUCGCUUUAGUCAGCUCAUCCGCUAAAUAUAUGGAAUCGAAUGAUGAAGUCGAUGAAAUUAUUUCUUUGCUCUAAUAGCUAUAUAAAUAUAAUAUCAAUAAAAGUAAAAAAUCAACUA